GGGCGCGUAGUCUAGUCUGGUCUCGAGAGUCCAUCUCUUGAAGCUGGGAGUCCCAGGUUCGAAUCCUGGCGCGCCCGCCA
rnacentral:tRNA from 1 species